rnacentral:rRNA from 1 species
UACGUAGGGGGCAAGCGUUGUCCGGAAUCAUUGGGCGUAAAGCGCACGUAGGCGGCCCUGUAAGUCCGUUGUGAAAGUCAAAGGCUCAACCUUUGAAUGCCGAUGGAUACUGCAGGGCUAGAGUCCGGAAGAGGCGAGUGGAAUUCCUGGUGUAGCGGUGGAAUGCGCAGAUAUCAGGAGGAACACCAAUAGCGAAGGCAGCUCGCUGGGACGGUAUUGACGCUAAGGCGCGAAAGCGUGGGGAGCAAACAGG